rnacentral:rRNA from 1 species
CACGUAGGGGGCAAGCGUUGUCCGGAUUUAUUGGGCGUAAAGAGCUCGUAGGCGGCUUAGUAAGUCGGGUGUGAAACCUCCAGGCUCAACCUGGAGACGCCACCCGAUACUGCUGUGGCUAGAGUCCGGUAGGGGAGCGUGGAAUUCCUGGUGUAGCGGUGAAAUGCGUAGAUAUCGAGAGGAACACCUGCGGCGAAGGCGGGUUGCUGGGCUGACACUGACGCUGACAGCGCGAAAGCUAGGGGAGCGAACGGG